rnacentral:rRNA from 1 species
GGAAACGACUGCUAAGACUGGAUAGGAGAUAGGAAGACAUCUUCUUAUUUUUAAAAGACCUACUAAUAGGUAUGCUUAAAGAGGAGCUUGCGUCACAUUACUUACUUGGUAGGGUAAAAGCCUACCAAGACUAUGAUGUGUACCCGGGCUGAAAGGUCAAACGGCCACAUUGGGACUGAGACACGGCCCAAACUCCUACGGGAGGCAGCAGUAAGGAAUUUUCGGCAAUGGAGGAAACUCUGACCGAGCAACGCCGCGUGAACGAUGAAGUAUUUCGGUACGUAAAGUUCUUUUAUUAGGGAAGAAAAGAUGGUGGAAAAACCAUUAUGACGGUACCUAAUGAAUAAGCCCCGGCUAACUAUGUGCCAGCAGCCGCGGUAAUACAUAGGGGGCAAGCGUUAUCCGGAAUUAUUGGGCGUAAAGGGUGCGUAGGCGGUUAAAUAAGUUUAUGGUCUAAGUGCAAUGCUCAACGUUGUGAUGCUAUAAAAACUGUUUAGCUAGAGUUGGAUAGAGGCAAGUGGAAUUCCAUGUGUAGUGGUAAAAUGCGUAAAUAUAUGGAGGAACACCAGGAGCGAAGGCGGCUUGCUGGGUCUUAACUGACGCUGAGGCACGAAAGCGUGGGGAGCAAACAGGAUUAGAUACCCUGGUAGUCCACGCCCUAAACGAUGAGUACUAAACGUUGGGUAAAACCAGUGUUGAAGUUAACACAUUAAGUACUCCGCCUGAGUAGUACGUACGCAAGUAUGAAACUUAAAGGAAUUGACGGGACUCCGCACAAGCGGUGGAUCAUGUUGUUUAAUUCGAAGGUACCCGAAAAACCUCACCAGGUCUUGACAUGCUUUUGCAAAGCUGUAGAAAUACAGUGGAGGUUAUCAAUUGCACAGGUGGUGCAUGGUUGUCGUCAGCUCGUGUCGUGAGAUGUUGGGUUAAGUCCCGCAACGAGCGCAACCCUUGUUGUUAAUUGCCAGCAUGUAAUGAUGGGGACUUUAACAAGACUGCCAAUGAAAAAUUGGAGGAAGGUGAGGACGACGUCAAAUCAUCAUGCCCCUUAUGACCUGGGCUACAAACGUGAUACAAUGGCUGUGACAAAGAGUAGCUAAAACGCAAGCUUCUAGCCAAUCUCAAAAAAGCAGUCUCAGUUCGGAUUGAAGUCUGCAACUCGACUUCAUGAAGUUGGAAUCGCUAGUAAUCGCGAAUCAGCAUGUCGCGGUGAAUACGUUCUCGGGGUUUGUACACACCGCCCGUCAAACCACGAAAGUUAGCAAUACCCAAAACCAGUAGCCUAACUUCAGCAAGCAAGAGGGAACCGUCUAAGGUAGGGUUGAUGAUUGGGGUUAAGUCGUAACAAGGUAUCCCCUACCGGAAGGUGGGGAUGGAUUACC